CGACCCUCAGAAAGGUUUCUGGUGCCAGCGGCUCGACGGAGGAAAGACUAAAUGUCUGGGGAAGAGCAAAGGGAGGAAGUACCCUCCGAUGGAGCCCGAGGCCCAUGCGUACCUGUCCAGGUACUACAGGGACCACAACGUGGACCUGUCCAAGCUGCUGCACCGCCUCGGGCAGCCCCUCCCCUCCUGGCUGAGGGAGGAGCUGCAGAAGGUCAGAUAACCUUUGUAUCCAUGACCCAGGGUUAAAGGUCAAGGGGUCAAGGACCUCUCUGCGGCCUCUGAGUGAACCCUGAGGUGAAGGCCAGGACCAGGAGCCUCGCUCCACCGAGGAGCAGCUGGAGGAAGAUGAA